GUGAACCUUUACUAUAGCUUGACACUGAACAUUGAGCCUUGAUGUGUAGGAUAGGUGGGAGGCUUUGAAGUGUGGACGCCAGUCUGCAUGGAGCCGACCUUGAAAUACCACCCUUUAAUGUUUGAUGUUCUAACGUUGGCCCGUAAUCCGGGUUGCGGACAGUGUCUGGUGGGUAGUUUGACUGGGGCGGUCUCCUCCUAAAGAGUAACGGAGGAGCACGAAGGUUGGCUAAUCCUGGUCGGACAUCAGGAGGUUAGUGCAAUGGCAUAAGCCAGCUUGACUGCGAGCGUGACGGCGCGAGCAGGUGCGAAAGCAGGUCAUAGUGAUCCGGUGGUUCUGAAUGGAAGGGCCAUCGCUCAACGGAUAAAAGGUACUCCGGGGAUAACAGGCUGAUACCGCCCAAGAGUUCAUAUCGACGGCGGUGUUUGGCACCUCGAUGUCGGCUCAUCACAUCCUGGGGCUGAAGUAGGUCCCAAGGGUAUGGCUGUUCGCCAUUUAAAGUGGUACGCGAGCUGGGUUUAGAACGUCGUGAGACAGUUCGGUCCCUAUCUGCCGUGGGCGCUGGAGAACUGAGGGGGGCUGCUCCUAGUACGAGAGGACCGGAGUGGACGCAUCACUGGUGUUCGGGUUGUCAUGCCAAUGGCACUGCCCGGUAGCUAAAUGCGGAAGAGAUAAGUGCUGAAAGCAUCUAAGCACGAAACUUGC
rnacentral:rRNA from 1 species